CAGCCAUGCCGCGUGUAUGAAGAAGGCCUUCGGGUUGUAAAGUACUUUCAGCGGGGAGGAAGGGAGUAAAGUUAAUACCUUUGCUCAUUGACGUUACCCGCAGAAGAAGCACCGGCUAACUCCGUGCCAGCAGCCGCGGUAAU
rnacentral:rRNA from 1 species